rnacentral:tRNA from 1 species
AUUUAAAUAGUUUAAUAAAAAUAUUGAUUUGUGGAAUCAAAGAUAUAAAAAGUUUAUUUUAAAUA